GAUCCUGGCUCAGGAUGAACGCUGGCGGCGUGCCUAACACAUGCAAGUACGAGCGAUCUCUUAGGAGAGAGCGGCGGACGGGUGAGUAACGCGUGGGUAACCUGCCCUGUACACACGGAUAACAUACCGAAAGGUAUGCUAAUACGGGAUAAUAUAUAAGAGUCGCAUGACUUUUAUAUCAAAGAUUUUUUCGGUACAGGAUGGACCCGCGUCUGAUUAGCUUGUUGGCGGGGUAACGGCCCACCAAGG
rnacentral:rRNA from 1 species